rnacentral:rRNA from 1 species
AGUGAACGCUGGCGGUAGGCCUAACACAUGCAAGUCGAACGGCAGCACAGUAAGAGCUUGCUCUUACGGGUGGCGAGUGGCGGACGGGUGAGGAAUACAUCGGAAUCUACUUUUUCGUGGGGGAUAACGUAGGGAAACUUACGCUAAUACCGCAUACGACCUACGGGUGAAAGCAGGGGAUCUUCGGACCUUGCGCGAUUGAAUGAGCCGAUGUCGGAUUAGCUAGUUGGCGGGGUAAAGGCCCACCAAGGCGACGAUCCGUAGCUGGUCUGAGAGGAUGAUCACCAACCGUGGAAAUGGACCAGGACCAACACCCUACGGGGGGGAGGCAGGGGGAAUUAUUGGACAAGGGGCGAAGGCCUAACCCACCCAUCCGGGGGGGGGAAAAAAGGCCUUGGGUUUGAAAACCCUUUUUUUGGGGAAAAAAAAGAAGCAGUUAAAUCCCCCCCUGUUCUGACGUUACCAAAAAAAAAAGCACCGGCUAACUCGGUC